CCUACGGGCGGCUGCAGUGAGGAAUCUUCCACAAUGGGCGAAAGCCUGAUGGAGCAACGCCGCGUGAAGGAUGAAGGUCUUCGGAUUGUAAACUUCUUUUAUGAGUGAAGAAUAUGACGGUAACUCAUGAAUAAGCACCGGCUAACUACGUGCCAGCAGCCGCGGUCAUACGUAGGGUGCAAGCAUUAUCCGGAGUGACUGGGCGUAAAGAGUUGCGUAGGCGGUUAUGUAAGCGAAUAGUGAAACCUGGUGGCUCAACCACACAGACUAUUAUUCGAACUGCAUAACUCGAGAAUGGUAGAGGUAACUGGAAUUUCUUGUGUAGGAGUGAAAUCCGUAGAUAUAAGAAGGAACACCAAUGGCGUAGGCAGGUUACUGGGCCAUUUCUGACGCUAAGGCACGAAAGCGUGGGGAGCGAACCGGAUUAGAUACCCCAGUAGUC
rnacentral:rRNA from 1 species